UACGUAGGGUGCGAGCGUUAAUCGGAAUUACUGGGCGUAAAGCGUGCGCAGGCGGUUUUGUAAGACAGAUGUGAAAUCCCCGGGCUUAACCUGGGAACUGCGUUUGUGACUGCAAGGCUAGAGUACGGCAGAGGGGGGUGGAAUUCCACGUGUAGCAGUGAAAUGCGUAGAGAUGUGGAGGAACACCGAUGGCGAAGGCAGCCCCCUGGGCCUGUACUGACGCUCAUGCACGAAAGCGUGGGGAGCAAACAGGAUUAGAUACCCUGGUAGUCCACGCCCUAAACGAUGUCGACUAGUCGUUCGGAGCAGCAAUGCACUGAGUGACGCAGCUAACGCGUGAAGUCGACCGCCUGGGGAGUACGGCCGCAAGGUUAAA
rnacentral:rRNA from 1 species